ensembl:lncRNA
CCCAAACAGGUCUUUUUAUUUAACAUAAGGCCAAAGAAGCUAUCAGGCGUUGCUGAAUACUGUCCACUAACUGUACAAAAUAUUGACUGCAUGCCUCGCAAACACCAAAAUAUCCGCUGGAAUGCCAUAGAAAUAAAUAACUUCUGCUAUAAACACAUGAAAACAUAUCAAACUGUUAUCUCUUUAAACAUAUCGUAAAUAAAAAAAUUACCAGUACUUCUACACAAUAAAUAUUAAGAAAUCAUUGACAUAGUUGAAAUGCACUCAUAUAAAUUAACAACUUUAAUUACAUUAGCCAAACAGACAUUGGUUAAAGAACUGCAUGUAAUAUGCCAAAAAAAAAAAAAAUCAAAAUAAAACAAACAAACAAACAACACCAACCACAGAACAUAAAAGGUUUUAAAACAAAACAGGCUUCAGAUUAUCUUGGCUUUCAUAAUUAUAUUUUUCUUUUAAAGAAAAAUAUCAACCCAUUGUCAAUGCACUGUUUCUCAAAGCAUUUAAAUAGAGGGUAAAGCCCAUUGGAAAUUAAUACAGAAGAAAUGAUUCACUUUAUGCAUAAAAAAUAAAUAAUAAUAUAGCUGAGACAUGUGGUUUGCUUCUGCUCUUGAAGAUGUGAACAGCUUCUAAGCAUUCAUUUUCUCUGACCCAUACAACAGCUUCUCAGUGAUAAAGGGUUUAAUUUAAACAUACACAGUGUCCACCCCCAAGACUUCUGCCCACAUCUACAAGUUCCAUUUAUUGUGUAGGAUUUCAGGGUGACUAAGUUUUUCUCUAUAUUGAAAAGAGAAGUUGCCAAAAGGCCCACAGGAAAUCAUUUUUUCAAGUAAACAUGAUCAUUUGAGUCUAAGCUUAAUAGCACUAAGGCAUUUGCCUUUUCUGAUUUUAGAGUCACCUUGACGUUCACUCUCUCGAGGGUGACAAAAAAAAUUCACUUGUUCUAUCUAAGAGGAGAAGGCAGGUACUCUCCUUAAAAUCAGAGUGUGGAAUCAAUCUUAAAUAAGUAUGAAAUUGAUUGGUCUUCAGAGACAAGAAAAUCUCAACUCAGUGUUCUGGAAUUCACCUUACUUUUGGGGGGAAAAAAAGGAAAAGAAAAAGUCAAUCAAAUCUACAACAUAUUUAGCAUUCUUAAAAAUUAUUUGGGAACACAUGCUUUUCAGAUCUUUGAAGACUGGAUGUGGGUAGACUUUUAAGAGCCUAGAGAUGAGCCCUACAGAAAGAGCACAGAUCAGAUGAAGCUAAACUUGCUUUAGGAAAACAGACAGGGAAGACAUAGUCUGGUGGAAUUUAAAAGCUUUUUCUUUUGACCUUCACACUGCUCCAUGAACAACAUGGCUGUUUACAAAGUUGCAUAACUUCCAAGAUUAUCAAAGAUAGUUGUAAUUUAUCAUUCUAUUUCAAGGUCAUAUAGAUUUAAUAAAAUAUUUUAGUUAAAGUUUGGAGAUGUGUAAUUUAAUAAAUGAAAUCUUCCCAUUAAAAUACUGUCAUAUGUAAUUUCAUUUAGCUCUGCUACUAAUUACUGUGGCCACUUAUCAAACUCCAUUGUACCCUCAAUACAUCCAGGAUUUAAAGGCUUCAGUAGAUGGCAUACAUAUUUGAGAUGAAUGGGAGCCACAGACAGAGAUCAGCUGUUUUUUCAACCUCUUUUCACUUUGUCUAUUGCCUGGGCCAUCUCUGCUAUUACACAGUGAACUAGGACUUGGCUUCCCAUACUAUUUUCGUAGGUUCCUCUAUUCGUUCCAAUGCAAAAUAAGAAGUUCAAAAAGCCCUCAAAGUUUUUCAUGAAAAUUUCAUGACACUCAGCUGCCCAAUUUCCUAGUCAAUGGUUAAGGGUGAGGAAGUAUCAAUGUUGCAUGCACUCCAUCUCAUACUUAAUUAGAAUCCAUUCUUAAGCACUCGUGUGGGGUUUCCUGCAUAACAAAGGAUGAACCUCUAGAUUGUAGUAUGUACAGCCAGGUAACAACAUUAAAUCUGCCUACAUACAGCCCAGUAGAUAGCAGACUGAUUUGGUCUAUUUCUCAAGAAGAGCUAAACCACCUUGGCAAUGAUUUCUCACUGAUACUUUAUUUUCCUACUAUUAAUUUUAAAAAGUUCUACAAAUUGGCAUAGGGCUGAAAGCUUCAAUAUUUUACAGAAUUCUAACAAACAUAAUUUCCCCCAUGAGACCUUUUUUCCCCCCAACUUUCACAAUUUUCAACAAGUCAGUAUAAGUAAGGCUCUGUAUUUUAAAAAGCACAUAAAUGAAUAAUGUAUAACCUAGGCAAGCUAAAUAUCAUAGGAUAAAUCAGUAACAAUUUAGCUUUAAGCAUGUACUUUGAUAGUUAUAAAACCAAGUGGUUAUCUUUUUUUUCUUUUCGUAUCUGAAUCAAUGCAUACCAAUUUAUAUGUCAAGAAUUUGGGCUAUAAAUUAAAAUAUCAGGGAUUUUUACUACUGCCCUCAUUCCUGUUUCCCAUUCUUUUUCUUACUCCCAUGCUCUUAAACACCUUCCCCCAAAUUAUUUAUUGUUUAACUAGUGACAGCAACAUUAUUGAGUCCAGCUGCACAGGUAAUAUUUCUCACAACCAGACCUUAAUCAUAAAAAAAAAUUUAAAAUGCACCCACUUAUUUUAUCCUGGCCUACAGGUUAAUAUUUUUUUUCGGAAAAAGUUUCUGAUUUAAGAUUGAUUCCAACAGAUAAUACAUAUGUUAUCCAAAUAAUCAGCCUAGAUUGAACAUGAGUUUCCUGUUUUGUUUUCCCUGUAGGGAGUAAGUAACUUGUAGGAUGGGGUUGGAGGACAAGAAAGAGGAGGGAAUUGGAUCCCUGUACAUUAAAAGAGGGUCUUGCUGAAUAUUCACUGGAAUUCCCAGGCUUUUCCCAUACAAAUUUUUGAAAUGUGCCCACCUAGUUCAGAGUAAAAGCAAAAACGAUAGCCUAUCCUUCUUAAAAAUACUGUGUUUUGCACACAAACAUUCAUUGCCUUAAGAACAUUAAAAAAUGACAGCCUGAAGUGCUUAAAAUGUGUAUGGACACGAUGCGCCACAUGUAUACAUACACACAGACAUGCAUGUGCCCGAGCACUGGAUAUAUACACACACGAGCAUGGAGCGUUCCAUAAAUCUGGUUGAACUUGAUAUCCAACAGUGUACAACUACUGUACAUCCAGUAUGAAAUGUCCUGUUUCAUGGAUGUAAAAGGAGUCAAAAAAAAAAAAAAACAAACUUUUCAGGUCUUUCAAGCCUGAACACAAUCCACCUUACUCAACCUUGAAUCCCAACCCCUGACUCAUUGAUGGUGAAUGAUACCAACCACAGACAGACUGUUUAAAGGCUCACACAAAUGUCUUUGGUGUAUGUGUCUAUUUUUUAAGGUACAAAAUAAUAA